rnacentral:rRNA from 1 species
AUACCCGCGCCCCUAGUGGUGGUCGAUAUUAUUGAGCCUAAAACGUCCGUAGCCGGUCUUCUAAAUCCUUGGGUAAAUCGGGCAGCUUAACUGUCCGAAGUCCGGGGAGACUGGGAGACUUGGGACCGGGAGAGGUCAGAGGUACUUCUGGGGUAGGGGUAAAAUCCUGUAAUCCUGGAAGGACCACCGGUGGCGAAGGCGUCUGACUAGAACGGAUCCGACGGUGAGGGACGAAGCCCUGGGGCGC